AUAGAUUGGCUUCAGAAAGACUUGGGUUUUCAUCUUCAAACUCACUCCCUCCACACAAACCAAAAGCAUUGCAUUUGCACCAACCACUUAGAAAACCAAAAGCAUCAGAUGGCGCCGCCUCCUGGUCCCUACUCCGGCACCAGCACCCUCGCCUUGGUGGCUCGUGUUUCGGCUUUCUCAUUUGGGCUUGUUUAUGGCAACAUGAAGCUCAAGUACCUCAAGGCAAAAGCAAGAUCACACAAGAAAGCUGAAGCAAAGGCCCAUCAUUGAAGAUGGUGAUGGGAUCUGUUUCAACUUGGGUAAACAUUUUGAGUUGAGUAUAGAAAUAAUUGUUAAUGAAAGCAGCGGUGUUUCAUCUUUGGCUAAUGGUUUUACAGACCUUGCUGGGUGCUUUAGUCAAAUUGUUUUAGAGUUAAUCUUUUAAGAAACUUCACUUGAUUGGGUUCUACAAUUUUUAUGGAGUAUUUGCCUUCCCUUUGGUAACAAUGUACUGUUGAAUGAUUAUCAUCCUCUGUUUAAAAUAAUAAACCUCUGUUACUUUUAGGUCCCCA